CCUUUGGUAGCUCAGCUGGUAGAGCGGAGGACUGCAGCAGUAAUUAAGCUUCCGUUAUCCUUGGAUCGCUGGUUCGAUUCCG
rnacentral:tRNA from 1 species